rnacentral:rRNA from 1 species
UCGCGGCUUAUCAGCUGGUGCGUGAGGUAACGGAUCACCAACGCUAUGACGGGUAGUAAGUCUGAGCGGAUGAUCAGCCACGAUGGGAGUGAGACACGGCCCAGAAUCUUACGGGAGGCAGCAGUAAGGAAUCUUCCACAAAGGGUCAAAGCCUGAUGGAGCAACACCGCGUGAUCGAGGAAGCCUUCUGGGGAUUAAAGAUUUUUUCUGGGAGAACAACUAUUACGGUAUCCUAGGAAUAAGCACCGUCUAACUCCGUUCCAGCAGCGUCGGUAAUACGGAGGGGGCAAGCGUUACCCGGAAUCAUUGGGCGAAAGCGUCCGCAGGCUGUUUGUUAAUUUGGAUGUUAAAUUUUGCAGCUCAACUGUAAAAGUACGUGUAAAACAGGCAAACUAGAGAUCUUCAGAGGGACGUGGAAUUUUGUGUGUAGGGGUAAAAUCUGUAGAUACACAGAGCAACCCCAAAACCGAAGGCAGCGUACUGGGCAGUUUCUGACCAUCAUGGAAGAAAGCCGGGGAGCCAACGGGAUUAGAUACCCCGGUAGUCCACGCCCAAACGAUGGAACUAGGUGUUGAGGGACUCGACCCCCUCAGCGCCGACGCUAACGCAUUAAGUAUCCCGCCUGGGGAGUAGGGA